UCUUACUGUCACGAUUUUUUGGAAAGAAAUUCUUUGAGUGUAGAAAUCUUUUCACUGACAUUUAGAUUUGUCUUUGAAUUUUUUUUUUUUUCGUUUUGUUUCUCAACAUCAUCAUCAACCAUCAUCCAUUUGGAUAAGAUUUAUUCAGAUGUGAUUUAUGUCAAUGUCAUUCGAAACUAUUCAAUUUCGGUUGGAACCGUAGAAAUUUUAUCUUAUUUUUUCUGCUGAAUAUCAUCAUUCAUUGAAGAAAAAAAAUUUAAAAUAAUGAAAUUAAUCAUUUUCAACAGCCACAAUAAAAAUAAACUGAAAUAAAGAAUUUCACAGGAACAAGAAAAAAGCUCAAAUUCGUUACCUGAUAACUGGAAUAAGACAAAAAUAAAAUCGAUUCCACAUAAAAACUUCAAGUGACAAAACAAAAUCGAUCGAUUUGGCAAAAAAAAAUGUUGUUUAUCAUUAAAGCGAUUUGAUAAAUCGACAUUAUCAUUUUUUUCUCUGUGGUAAAAGUCGUUUUGCUCGGCACCCAACUAACCAACCAAACGACUAUUGAACCAUCAAUCCAUCCUAAAUGUUGAUUCUUAAAUUCUCUGAAAAUACUCUCAAUAAAUUCUGAAAAAAAUAGAAUGACCACAAAUAAACAUUGUCCACAAAUAGCUAUUAAGUAAUUGUUGAUGUCAAUAGAGAAGAAAAAAUCAACACCAACGCCAUUAACAAAUAAUAGAAUUGAAACAAGAAGCAAAAGAAAAGAAAAAUAAAUAAUAUUCCUUGCUGUGUUGGAUACUAUAAUCGUUGAAUGAAUUUUCUAUUUUCUACAAGAACUCGGAACUCUGAAAAUGUAUAAAGAAGAAGAAGAUUCUUAAGAAUAAAUGAAAAAAAAAAGAAAUGAUUGUUUCCAAUAACAACAACUUUAUUUCAAACAUUAUCCUAUCAAAGUCUAUUUAAUUCUCUUUUGUCAUAGAAUAACAAGCAACACACACACAAACACGAUACCUUCAAUAUAUUAACAAUAAGUCAUCAUCUUAAUUGUGUCUUUAUUCUUUGUGUCUGUGUCCACCUUAUUAUUAUUUGUAUUUCCACGUCAUCAUCAUCAUCAUCAUCAUCAUCAUCAACAACGUCUUGUUGGCUUGUUAUUAGUGACCAGAAAUAAAAAAAAAGUUUCCCAUUCUAUUCUUAAUGAUUUUUUUU